UCGGGAUGGACAACAGAGGCAAGAAAUCUGGCUAAAAUGCAGUGCUGUGGGCUAGGACCAGGCCCCUCCGUGUGGGAGGGGAGUGGACAGGCCCAUGCACUGGGGCUGUGUCUGCAUGUUUCCAACAGUGGCAUUCAGGGGCAUGCAUGCACCAGAGUGGCUCCUGAGAGGGGACAGUGUGCAUCUCGCCCUACUUUGUGUUCUAUGAUUUUAUGCUAGAAGCUUGAAUUCAACCAUGAUGGGAGUACUUACACCACAAAGAUUGAAGCGCUUGGAGUCCAUCUGUCAGACAACUUCAUACGACUUAUCACAUGUGACUCCCAAAUCUCCAGUGGCAUAAAGCGUAUGAAGACAUUUGACAUUUGUUUUUCUCAUCUUCACCUCUCAAGGGAAAACAGAACUUCAAAGAUCUCAAACUUCAAAGAACACAAACAAAUUAACCUGAUAUUUUGGAGCUGUAGCCUAUGCUUCCUCCUGCUGAAUCACUGUGGAUUGAUUUCUGAACUUCAUAAAGGAGCCUCAGGAGGAAAGGGGAAAGUGAUGGUUUCCCCCAGUGCCAGCCCAGAUGGCCUUGGGUCCUAGACCACUGAGCGCUUCAAUGCAGCCACGAUGCUGUGGGCCACACACUGCCUGGCUCACCACUGAUGCCUCCAAACAUUCCCCCAGAACCAAGACAGAAGCUUCCCCCAAGGGUCCCGAAACUCGAAUCCCUUGAAAUGUUUCUCAGGAAAUCUUUCUAAGUUGCAACAAGUUUGGGAAGUGUUCUGUAUUAUGUUCGCCCUUCACCCUUGUAUAUUGACGAGACCGUUUAGCAAAUUAAAAACAUCGAGAAUUCCUACAAUAAGACAAUCUUUUUGGCUUUGUUAGCUCAGAGACUCUUACUUUAUCUUACUACAGAGCUCUUUUCAUUAUUUUUAACAUAAUUCAUAUUAAGAUUCUGUGAAGCCAGCAAUCUACCAAACACAGCUUAAAAACACUGACUCAUACCAGUGUCUUUAGUUCAGAUGAGAAGCAUCCAUGUUGCAUGGAUUUUCUGCCUCCUUCCCCCUUAAUUUCACAUCUGUUGGUCUUGCUAUAAUACCUGUAGUAUAGAUUUUUACUGUUUUUUAAAGUGUUCUUUACUACCAGUUUUUCAUGCCAAAUUGGCCUUGCUAUUAAGGGGUUGAUGGUAUUUCAGGCCAUCUGGACCAGGUUCAGCUCUAGAGUUGGGGCAUUUUAAACAAAGCACCAAGAAUCUCUUCGUAAAGACAUCCAGAUCUAAAAAGUCUCUUUGAAGCCCAUUUAGAACUACUUGCUGCCUUAUUUCACUACUUAGUUAAAAUACUAAGGAAAUAUAUGUAUUUUCUUAGUCUGAAGAAAAUAUAUGUAAUUUUCAUUGUCAGUAUCAAGAAAUAACAGGAAUUAUAAUUUCCAUGAAAGGAACAAUCUUCCAUGGAAAAAGUGUUAAUACUCUUAAAAGUCUAAAUCCUUUACAGGGUGUGGCAUAUCCUAUAAUCUGUCUGUUGGGUAUGAAUGCUUUCUUUUAGAUUCUGUUGUAUUUAUAAUUCUGUUCACAGCUCCAGACAUUCCUGUUUUGAAUGUGUCUCCUGGAAUUGAAAUUUGGGGCCAUUUAUUGAUGAGGCAGAGGAGGGUGAGAGGUAAUCAUUCCUGACUAGUGAUCGAUAGGGUAAUCCUCCAACCUAUCACAGACUCCCUAAAAAUGGAGGGUGGCAAGGGUGAUUUUUCUCAGCUUCAGUUCAAUACAACUAUUACAGAUAUGUGGGCACUAAAUUAGAGACGAAUGUACGCCGUGAGGUAUACAUCAUGUUUGGUUCCUUGUAGUGUAAGUACUACAG